UACGAGGGGGGCAAGCGUUGUUCGGAAUUAUUGGGCGUAAAGGGCGCGUAGGCGGUGCGGUAAGUCACCUGGUGAAAUCUCUGGGCUCAACUCAGAGUCUGCAGGCGAAACUGCCGUGCUGGAGUAUGGGAGAGGUGCGUGGAACUCCCGGUGUAGCGGUGAAAUGCGUAGAUAUCGGGAGGACACCUGUGGCGAAAGCGGCGCACUGGACCAUAACUGACGCUGAGGCGCGAAAGCUAGGGGAGCAAACAGG
rnacentral:rRNA from 1 species